rnacentral:rRNA from 1 species
UUUUUAAAUGGGAUCUUGUAUGAAUGGUUAGACAAAAGAAAAACUGUCUUUAUAGUAAGUUUGAAUUUAACUUUUAAGUGAGAAGGCUUAAAUAAUCUAAUGGGACGAGAAGACCCUAUAAAGCUUUAUAUUGAAAUUAUUUUUAAUUAAAUUUGAAGAAUAAUAAUUUAAUAUAAUUACAAUAUUAUGUUGGGGAGACAGAGGUAAAAUUUAUAGUAACUGCUUAUUAGUAAAACAAAUAUAGUUGGUUUAAUGAAGAUCUUAUUAUGUGGAUUUAAAGAUUAAGUUACUUUAGGGAUAACAGUGUUAUUUUUUUUGAGAGUUCAUAUCGAAAAAAGAGUUUGCAACCUCGAUGUUGAAUUAAAGUAUCUAUAUAGUGCAGAAGUUAUAUAUGAAGGUCUGUUCGACCUUUAAAAUUUUAC